rnacentral:rRNA from 1 species
CUGAGAUGAGCUUGCGUACCAUUAGCUAGUUGGUGGUGUAACGGACCACCAAGGCGACGAUUGGUAGCCGAACUGAGAGGUUGAUCGGCCACAUUGGGACUGAGAUACGGCCCAGACUCCUACGGGAGGCAGCAGUGGGGAAUAUUGCGCAAUGGGGGAAACCCUGACGCAGCAACGCCGCGUGAAGGAUGAAGGUUUUCGGAUCGUAAACUUCUUUGAUGGGGGACGAAACAAAUGACGGUACCCCAAAAACAAGCCACGGCUAACUACGUGCCAGCAGCCGCGGUAAUACGUAGGUGGCAAACGUUGUCCGGAAUUACUGGGCGUAAAGGGCGAGUAGGUGGUUUAUUAAGUCAGAAGUGAAAACUCCGGGCUCAACUCGGAGACUGCUCCUGAAACUGGUAGACUUGAGUGCAAGAGAGGGAAGUGGAAUUCCUAGUGUAGCGGUGAAAUGCGUAGAUAUUAGGAGGAACACCAGUGGCGAAGGCGACUUCCUGGCUUGUAACUGACACUGAGGCGCGAAAGCGUGGGGAUCAAACAGGAUUAGAUACCCUGGUAGUCCACGCCGUAAACGAUGAGUGCUAGGUGUUGGGUAGCGAUAUUCAGUGCCGAAGUUAACACAAUAAGCACUCCGCCUGGGGAGUACGGUCGCAAGACUGAAACUCAAAGGAAUUGACGGGGGCCCGCACAAGCGGUGGAGCAUGUGGUUUAAUUCGACGCAACGCGAAGAACCUUACCAAGGCUUGACAUCCCCCUGACCGGUACAGAGAUGUACCUUCCCCUUCGGGGCUGCUUACAAGGUGCUGCAUGGUUGUCGUCAGCUCGUGCCGUGAGGUGUCGGGUUAAGUCCCAUAACGAGCGCAACCCUUAUCGUUAGUUGCCAGCGGGUCAUGCCGGGGACUCUAGCGAGACUGCCGUUGACAAAACGGAGGAAGGUGGGGAUGACGUCAAAUCAUCAUGCCCCUUAUGUCUUGGGCUACACACGUACUACAAUGGCCUGAACAGAGGGAAGCGAAACUGCGAAGUUAAGCGAACCCCUUAAAACAGGUCCCAGUUCGGAUUGGAGUCUGCAACCCGACUCCAUGAAGUUGGAUUCGCUAGUAAUCGCGCAUCAGCAUGCCGCGGUGAAUACGUUCUCGGGCCUU